rnacentral:rRNA from 1 species
AGCAGCCGCAGUAAUUCCAGCUCCAAUAGCGUAUAUUAAAGUUGUUGCAGUUAAAAAGCUCGUAGUUGAAUUUCGGGACCAAUUUGUUGGUCGUGCCUCGGUACGUACUGGUAUUAUUGGUUUCUCCCUUCUGAAGAACCUCGAUGUCAUUAAUUUGGUGUCGUGGGGAAUCAGGACUGUUACUUUGAAAAAAUUAGAGUGUUUAAAGCAGGCAUACGCUUGAAUACAUUAGCAUGGAAUAAUGAAAUAGGACGUUUGAUUCUAUUUUGUUGGUUUCUAGGAUCGACGUAAUGAUUAAUAGGGAUAGUUGGGGGCAUUAGUAUUCAAUUGUCAGAGGUGAAAUUCUUGGAUUUAUUGAAGACUAACUACUGCGAAAGCAUUUGCCAAGGAUGUUUUCAUUAAUCAAGAACGAAAGUUAGGGGAUCGAAGACGAUCAGAUACCGUCGUAGUCUUAACCAUAAACUAUGCCGACUAGGGAUCGGAUGAUGUAAUUUUUAAUGACUCAUUCGGCGCCUUACGG